UGUUGUUUUGUUACUUUGUAGUAGCCAACCAGGUAGAAGUCGUCUUAGUUUUCAUUAGUAUUUUAACCUAUAUAGAUAAUGGUGGUGGUGAUUUUUAUUGUGUAUAAGCUCCUCUUAAGAGAUAAGGUCCAUAAGGAGUUUGCGUGGCAGCAAAUUAAGAUGGCUCACAAGGUCUCUCUUAUCCUCGUUAUUGUCCUCUUAAUUUCGAUCCAGAUGGGUAGCUGCCAGCAGAGGGAAAGGGAAAUCAUCCUAUCCGAAGAAAAGGAAAGACACCGCAAAGAGUACUUCCAUGUGAGUAAAGCCCCGAGCCCUCCUCAUUGCCCACCACGGGAGCCACUGCCACCAAGACCAAUACCAGGACCACCGAGAAGGUGAUGUCCCCUCCCCUAGCAGAGACUCGAGGCUGAAGCAUACUAUUAUCUUGCAUGAUCUUUGUUUUCUUAGAUUGUUUCUUGGUGGUGGUGAUUUUUACUGUGUAUUUUGCAACUGAUCAUCCCAAUUUAAAAAGGUUCUGAAAAUAAGCUGUUCAUUUUAAAAAUGCAAUGGAAAAUAAAUUAUUCAAAUCCACAUGAUUGUUUGAAAUUGAAAA